UAAGACUUGUGAUAAAAUGAUAAGUGUAGUUAGAAAUGUACAUGUUAUGAUAUGAUAGCAUAUUUAAUAGGUAUUGUGGUUCUAAACCUAUGUGUAGGUGAACGUGAGUUUGAUAUUAUAGCUUACGCUCGAGGCAAGUUUUCUAAACUUCUCUUUUUACAUUGAGCAAGUUCUUUAACUCUACAUUUACGUUAAGCAAGUUUCUUACUUUAACCAUUCAUUAAGCGAACUUUUGUAUUCCUAAUCAUUAUUUGAGCAAGCUAGCUAUGACUUUAACUUUAUUCGAACAAGUUUGAGUUCCAAUAUUUAAUGAUGCAUUCUAACUUGUUUAUUGUUAGACAAGUUUCUUUAUUGUCAUUCGGAUAUUAUGAUUGCAGUUUUCUUGAAUUCUAAUUUCUAAUGUUGAAUUAUCUUAUCUCAUUUACUUGGAACAAACUAUUCUCAUAAUGAGCAAGCUUUAUUUUCUGCUUGCUAUUAUUUAAAGUAUAAUCAAUAAUUCAUAGUUCUAGAUUAAUAUUAUUCAAGCAAGGUUUGUUGUCAUUCAAUACUUAUGCCUUGUAGUUGUUUCCAAGCAUGAGUUCAAAAUAUAGUUAGUUCGUUUACACUUAUUCAUUGUUCUAUAUUAUGUUAUUAUUGAUCAACUGUUGUGUUGGUUCACACUAUUGAUUCAACUAGUUCUCUAGUUGAUGAUCAUUAAAACUCCAAAUUACCCUUGAAAGUUUAUCCAAACCAAACUUCCUUUGGUGCAGACUUAUACUCUAAAUACUGAGAUGAACAACCAUAUUAUUAUUAGAGGAUAAUUUACGCUUAGCGUUAAAAUGUUUGUGAACAAUACAUUGUACGAAGGGCUGAUACCCCUAAGUACGAGGAGUCCUUAUAGUCUUAUUACUGUUAAAGUUGAAGUUUAAAGAUUACUUACAACUGUGGACAUAGUUCGUGGUCUUAUGACCCUCAGUUUUAUGUAUUCCCUAUUUUGAUUCCAGUCAUUGGUUAUUAUUGAUAGAGUACUAUUUAGUUCUUAAUUAGCCUAUUCCUUGGCAGUUAUUUCAUUCUUGUUGAUUCAUUGCUAUAUCUAGUGAGCAAUUGUUUUGCUCAAUCUUGCAUAUUUAUACACUCAUUGCAGCCAAAGUUGAGAAGGUGGAUGAGUCUUCAACUAGAAAAGGAAAGGGAAAAAUGUACAAGUGAUGAAGACUUGUAAUUUUAUUUAUUGUUAUGAUCAUAGACUUUUAAAUAAUGAUUUGAUGUAAUAAGUUUAUUUCCGCACUUAUAUGAUGUUUAAAGGUUAGACAACCUGAGAAGAUUUUUAUUUAAUGAUGUAACCCUAUUUAAAGGGAGGAUUUGUGGUUAAAUGUUAUUCUAUUUGGGU
rnacentral:lncRNA from 1 species